rnacentral:rRNA from 1 species
AUUGAACGCUGGCGGCAUGCCUUACACAUGCAAGUCGAACGGCAGCGCGGACUUCGGUCUGGCGGCGAGUGGCGAACGGGUGAGUAAUGCAUCGGAACGUACCUUUCAGUGGGGGAUAACGUAGCGAACGUUACGCUAAUACCGCCUAUUCUGUGUGCAGGAACGCAGGGGAUCGCAAGACCUUGCGCUGAUUGAUCUGCCGGUGUCAGAUUAGCUAGUCGGUGAGGUAAAGGCUCACCAAGGCGAAGAUCUGUAGCGGGUCUGAGAGGAUGAUCCGCCACACUGGGACUGAGACACGGCCCAGACUCCUACGGGAGGCAGCAGUGGUGAAUUUUGGACAAUGGGGGCAACCCUGAUCCAGCCAUGCCGCGUGAGUGAAGAAGGCCUUCGGGUUGUAAAGCUCUUUCGGCCGGGAAGAAAUCGCAUGGGUUAAUACCCUGUGUGGAUGACGGUACCGGAAUAAGAAGCACCGGCUAACUACGUGCCAGCCGCCGCAGUAA